GUAGGUGGCAAGCGUUGUCCGGAAUUAUUGGGCGUAAAGCGCGCGCAGGCGGUUCUUUAAGUCUGAUGUGAAAGCCCACGGGCUCAACCGUGGAGGGUCAUUGGAAACUGGAGAACUUGAGUACAGAAGAGGAAAGCGGAGUUCCACGUGUAGCGGUGAAAUGCGUAGAGAUGUGGAGGAACACCAGUGGCGAAGGCGGCUUUCUGGUCUGUAACUGACGCUGAGGCGCGAAAGCGUGGGGAGCAAACAGGAUUAGAUACCCUGGUAGUCCACGCCGUAAACGAUGAGUGCUAAGCGUUAGGGGGUUUCCGCCCCUUAGUGCUGCAGCUAACGCAUUAAGCACUCCGCCUGGGGAGUACGGCCGCAAGGCUG
rnacentral:rRNA from 1 species